UACAGAGGUCUCAAGCGUUGUUCGGAUUCAUUGGGCGUAAAGGGUGCGUAGGCGGCGUGGUAAGUCGGGUGUGAAAUCUCGGAGCUUACUCCGAAACUGCAUUCGAUACUGCCGUGCUUGAGGACUGGAGAGGAGACUGGAAUUUACGGUGUAGCGGUGAAAUGCGCAGAUAUCAGGAGGAACACCGAUGGCGAAGGCAAUCCCCUGGACCUGUACUGACGCUCAUGCACGAAAGCGUGGGGAGCAAACAGG
rnacentral:rRNA from 1 species